rnacentral:rRNA from 1 species
AGUGAACGCUGGCGGUAGGCCUAACACAUGCAAGUCGAACGGCAGCACAGUAAGAGCUUGCUCUUACGGGUGGCGAGUGGCGGACGGGUGACGAAUACAUCGGAAUCUACUUUUUCGUGGGGGAUAACGUAGGGAAACUUACGCUAAUACCGCAUACGACCUACGGGUGAAAGCAGGGGAUCUUCGGACCUUGCGCGAUUGAAUUAGCCGAUGUCGGAUUAGCUAGUUGGCGGGGUAAAGGCACACCAAGGCAACGAUCCGUAGCUGGUCUGAGAGGAUGAUCAGCCACACUGGAACUGAGACACGGUCCAGACUCCUACGGGAGGCAGCAGUGGGGAAUAUUGGACAAUGGGCGAAAGCCUGAUCCAGCCAUGCCGCGUGAGUGAAGAAGGCCUUCGGAUCGUAAAGCUCUUUUGUUGGGAAAGAAAAUCAGCGUGUUAAUCCCCCGCUGUCCUGACGGUACCUAAAGAAUAAGCACCGGCUAACUUCGUG